rnacentral:rRNA from 1 species
CGAAGCGUGCGAUUGGAUUGCACGUCUAAGCAGUAAGGCUGAGUAUUAGGCAAAUCCGGUACUCGUUAAGGCUGAGCUGUGAUGGGGAGAAGACAUUGUGUCUUCGAGUCGUUGAUUUCACACUGCCGAGAAAAGCCUCUAGAUAGAAAAUAGGUGCCCGUACCGCAAACCGACACAGGUAGUCAAGAUGAGAAUUCUAAGGUGAGCGAGCGAACUCUCGUUAAGGAACUCGGCAAAAUGACCCCGUAACUUCGGGAGAAGGGGUGCUCUUUAGGGUUAACGCCCAGAAGAGCCGCAGUGAAUAGGCCCAAGCGACUGUUUAUCAAAAACACAGGUCUCUGCUAAACCGUAAGGUGAUGUAUAGGGGCUGACGCCUGCCCGGUGCUGGAAGGUUAAGAGGAGUGGUUAGCUUCUGCGAAGCUACGAAUCGAAGCCCCAGUAAACGGCGGCCGUAACUAUAACGGUCCUAAGGUAGCGAAAUUCCUUGUCGGGUAAGUUCCGACCCGCACGAAAGGCGUAACGAUUUGGGCACUGUCUCAACGAGAGACUCGGUGAAAUCAUAGUACCUGUGAAGAUGCAGGUUACCCGCGACAGGACGGAAAGACCCCGUGGAGCUUUACUGUAGCCUGAUAUUGAAAUUCGGCACAGCUUGUACAGGAUAGGUAGGAGCCUUUGA